UACGAAGGAUGCGAGCGUUAUCCGGAUUUAUUGGGUUUAAAGGGUGCGUAGGCGGUCUUAUAAGUCAGUGGUGAAAUCUUGUCGCUUAACGACAAACGUGCCAUUGAUACUGUAGGACUUGAGUACAGAUGCCGUUGGCGGAAUGUGUCAUGUAGCGGUGAAAUGCUUAGAUAUGACAUAGAACACCCAUUGCGAAGGCAGCUAACUACGCGAUCAUUGACGCUGAUGCACGAAAGCGUGGGGAGCAAACAGG
rnacentral:rRNA from 1 species